UGAGUAACCUGCCCUUAACUCUGGGAUAAGCCUGGGAAACUGGGUCUAAUACCGGAUAUGACUCCUCAUCGCAUGGUGGGGGGUGGAAAGCUUUAUUGUGGUUUGGAUGGACUCGCGGCCUAUCAGCUUGUUGGUGAGGUAAUGGCUCACCAAGGCGACGACGGGUAGCCGGCCUGAGAGGGUGACCGGCCACACUGGGACUGAGACACGGGCCCAGACCUCCGUACGGGGAGGCAG
rnacentral:rRNA from 1 species